AUGGAAAUGAGCAGCUAGCUCAGUGGGUUUCUAGCCUGAGAGGGUUCCAAAAGGCAGCCCAGCUCUAGAAUUUCAAUGGUCUGGGACCUGGCUGCUAAGCCACCUUCUAAGUAUUCAGCAAAAAGAGAAGACUCUGGUGCUGGGGGAGAGCAAAAUAUAUAGCUGAGCCUUGGCCUUGCUUCCAUACCUUAGCAAUUCACCUUCUGAUAAACAUUUGAGCUGCUAUGAAAACAAGGGAUGCUAAAUCUGCAAAGCCAGCUCAGCAAACAGCUGACCUAUCUGACUUGAUCUUGGCUGGGUACCCUUCUGGUGGUCUCCCAGCUAACGUAAGCUGAGCUCAUCAGAAAGCGGCUGCCCAACCUGAUACUGAGACUCUGUGAAUGCUACAACUUAGCCUUAUGAGUGGGAUGCAUCAUCUUAACCAUACCUACUCGUCUAAACUAUUGACUGUGUGGAAUAACGUGGGGAAAAAGUUGGAUUUAAAUCAAUCCCUGCAAAAGAUUUCUUGUUACAUAGGCUACGGAAAAUCCUUUCUCUAUAUUUCUCCUUCUCCCAGGCAGAUGGAGAAGAGCGGAGCAGAUUCUGGCCUCUGGGCCAGUGCUGUCAGUGAGCUCAUUUAUAGGGCUGGGCAGGUUUUGGUGGGCGAAAAGCCAUAUGAUACAAAAGAACCUGCUCCAAAUGGGGUUUUGUUGCUACCAUUGUACUAGGUUCCUUUUUUAUUUCUUCUGUAAUUAAUAAAAAAUAACUACAAUUGUAAUCAUGAUAGAGACUAUUCAGUCUGGGGGGGGGGGAAGUACUUCUGUAUAUGCUGACCUGACUUCAUAUUUUGGGGUGGCAAUAUCUUACCAUGGUGGACAGCAAGAUGGAUUUCUGCUGGUGACAGACUAAAAAUCUUUGGUUAAUUAGGUGUGUUCAUUUCAAAAUAUAUAAUAACUAGGAAAAGACAUGAGAAACCUUAAAUUAGAUCAUGUUAUGCAUAGAGGAUAUAGCAGUCAGUAUUUACCAUUUGCAAUCAAAAAGUAAUCGUAUAUAUUUAAGCAAAUACUGUAAACAAACUCCUGCUUCCCUUCACAGGCAGAGUUCAAGCAGGCAAGUUUGUUUUGUGGCUUUCAGGUGACUUUUAAAAUGUCAAACUUCAUUGCAGUUAGCACUGUUCAAAAAUACACACAAGCAUGCACAAUUAUGUACAAGUAAAUAUAUACUUGUUCAAUUUUCUUAGAAAUUGAAAUGAAAAACAGGUGUUACUCGUAAAUGCUUACAUUUCUCUCCAGACAGCAUUUCCUGGGAUAGGUUAUAUUUUUCUUUAAGACCAUAAGGCAGUUGUUCCAUCUGAAAACCUGACAUUGUUCCAGUUAUUCUGCCUGAACAGCUUCUAUUAAGAGAAGGUUUUUUUAGUGUUCAGUUUCCAUUCCUUUUUAUAAGCUGAAGAACACUGUUGUCAAUCAUUACACCUAUGCAGCUAUUGUCCCUCCCAAACAGCAGAAUCAGAGCUGUUGUGACAGCGUACAUUGUACAUAGAAAUCUUUGCACAAAAGUAAGGGCGGAAAAGAGAAGAUGUACUGGGGGAUUAUAUCCCUUAAUUAAAAGAAGCAAUGCAUCUGAAGUAAUGAUUCCCAAAAUAAAUGCUUAUGAGAACCAUAGCUAUAAAAGAUCCAUAGAUUUUGGUGGUACUUCUUUUUCUGUAUGGUUUUGACCCCACAGUGCUCAGGAGGUCUGCGUAUCUGCAGUGCUACAUGUUCACUGUGGUUACCCAUGAACUAUGUCUUAGUAGGCAAAAGUGCCAGUGAUUGUUAAAGUGAUUUGGGUGGUACAAAAAAAUUGCUCAGUUUUGUAUG
ensembl:lncRNA